rnacentral:rRNA from 1 species
UACGGGGGGAGCAAGCGUUGUUCGGAUUUACUGGGCGUAAAGGGCGCGUAGGCGGUCAGCACAAGUCAGUUGUGAAAUCUCCGGGCUUAACUCGGAAAGGUCAACUGAUACUGUGCGACUAGAGUGCGGAAGGGGCAACUGGAAUUCUCGGUGUAGCGGUGAAAUGCGUAGAUAUCGAGAGGAACACCAGCGGCGAAGGCGGGUUGCUGGGCCGACACUGACGCUGAGGCGCGAAAGCCAGGGGAGCGAACGGG